GAUGAACGCUGGCGGCGUGCCUAAUACAUGCAAGUCGAGCGAACAGACGAGGAGCUUGCUCCUCUGACGUUAGCGGCGGACGGGUGAGUAACACGUGGAUAACCUACCUAUAAGACUGGGAUAACUUCGGGAAACCGGAGCUAAUACCAGAUAAUAUAUUGAACCGCAUGGUUCAAUAGUGAAAGACGGUUUUGCUGUCACUUAUAGAUGGAUCCGCGCCGCAUUAGCUAGUUGGUAAGGUAACGGCUUACCAAGGCUACGAUGCGUAGCCGACCUGAGAGGGUGAUCGGCCACACUGGAACUGAGACACGGUCCAGACUCCUACGGGAGGCAGCAGUAGGGAAUCUUCCGCAAUGGGCGAAAGCCUGACGGAGCAACGCCGCGUGAGUGAUGAAGGUCUUCGGAUCGUAAAACUCUGUUAUUAGGGAAGAACAAAUGUGUAAGUAACUAUGCACGUCUUGACGGUACCUAAUCAGAAAGCCACGGCUAACUACGUG
rnacentral:rRNA from 1 species